UAAUAUUAAUACUAACUACCAUCGUUGUAAAGAAAUUGAUUUCGAAAUGGAUGUAAAUUACUUCAAUUUUUUGCCGCCUGUUACUUUUUCUUCGAAUGAGAUGAUUGAACAAAUUAAGGAUCAGGAUUCGACUAUAAGUUUCAUUGGAUACAUCAGUCAAAUUAAUGACAUUGAAUUUAUAGGGAAAGAGAACGCCAAAAAAAAGUAUUGAAAUUCUUAGUUAAUAACAACAACGGAAAAACUAUUCAAGUGAAAGUAUGGGGAGCUGUACGUGUCGAAAAAGUUUUACCAUUUAUUAAAUCCAGUGAGAUUGUUCAUUUGGACGGAGUAGCGGCAAAACCAGUAAAUCCGGCGUUUAAUCAAGGAACAACAUCAUUUGAAUUAUGUAUUCAAUCAAAUACGGAAAUUCGUUGCUUGGGAAAACAUGAAGUUAAUAAAAUAAUUGACGAAAAAAUUCCAGAUCUAUGGAAAAUUGAAGACGUUGGAAAGUCGACGGGAAAAAUUAAACUUUUACUGGUUAUGUUCAAACCAUAAUGGGAUUACGAAAUUUGACAAACCCAACAACUCAGCACAGAUAUGAGUUCUUUACAUUCAUAUUAAAAGAUUUUAAUGGAAAACGUUGUCAAGUAACAGCCUUCAAUGGUAACAUUCAUAUGCUGCAAACAAAUGCGGAAAUUAAUAAUAUCCUGAAAAUUGAAAAUGCUCAAGAAAAGGAACUUCAUAGGAGCAAUCCGUACGGAGUUUACCUUCAUUUGAUAGUGAAUCAAAAUGCAACGGUGACGAGACUUGGGCGUUUAAUUCUUUAAUUUAUUUCAAACCGGG